ensembl:lncRNA
AUCAGGACUCUAGAUUCAGAACCUCACAGACGGCAGAUUUCAAUUGCUGGCCUCUUUUCCCCACGCCUGCCCUUGGCAGCAAUUCACCAGGAACCCAACAAAUACUAAAGACCCACUGAUGCAAUGGUGGGUCUGGGGCAGGAACCAGAUUUUACUACGGAGCAGUGGUUCCUGUCCCCCAGGGGACACACAGCCACAUCUAGAGACACUUCUGGUUAUCACAAAGUGGGGUGGGUGUGUACCACUGGCAUCUCGUGUGUGAGGGCCAGGGAUAGUUUGAAGUCAUUAAUGAUCCUUCAUGUUUCUAGAAAGCACGAGGAGCCAUCUCUGAUGUCAUUACCUGGCUGAACCUCAGUUUCCAUAUUGAACAAACAGGGACCAGGAUCCCCUUGCUGUCUGCUAGUUGGCAAAAUAAAAGAGUUGGGUAUAAAAGCGUCUAUUGCAGAAGAUGCUCAAUAAAAGAGCUGUGCAGGGAUGUGCUUACAUGGCUCCCUCUUUGGGCUUGGUUUAACAUCUCCAUAUCCUUCAAGACUUGGCUUGGGGCCAGCCACUCCUUCUAAGGAAAGUUGUCAGAAUCCCCCAUGCCCCAAGUCUUGCACUGGUUGUUCCUGAUUCUGUUCCCACAACUUCUUGUCACCUGUUGGUGCAAUAACCAACUACUCUGAACUCCAUUAUUCCUGUGGGCGAGUGCCCACUAGAAUGUCCCUCCUCUAGGUACAAGGGCUCAUCUCUGUCCCUGGGACCCAGCCCACAGAGCUUGGCACAAUCAGCCCUCACUUAACAGAACUCCAGGCCCACCCGAGACACAUGACUUCAGAGAAACAAGGAAAGGGAAGCAGCAAGUUAACAAGCCCCUUUGAGGAAUGAAAAUGGAUCCCUCAGUGAAACAGAAAGGGGAGAAUCCCAAGUCCCCACCUGCUUCUCUGAGUCACAGGCCUGGACCUGAGAGAGGAUCUUACCCAGGGAUUUCCAAUCAGAAGGACAUAGCUGAAACUUUGGACAGGUAUGAUGUGCAAAAGCACAUUUUGGCACUGCUGAUUUUCUAUAUGGAAGAUAAAGGAGCAGUAAGAUAACUGUUUUCAGAUAUAAACUGUAGGAUGGAAAGCUGAACAAAAGGGGGAAAAAUCACUGCAGUGGGGAUUCCCCUGUUGGGGGCUGUAUAAAAUUAGAGGGGGCUGUGUGCUGGAGAUGCCGAGGUUGGGUUUCAGAGUUGAGAAACAAUGAUUAGGCCAAUCUGUUUGUUUUGCAAGAAACAAAGAGACUUGACCAAGGUUAGGACCGCCAACACAGGACCCUCCAUGAGAGCCUGCCUGGCUAUGCUCCUGGUGCAAGGAGGAAACGACUACAGGGCUGUGGAACCAGAAGAUUCUGGUCUGGUUUAGGGAGGGGAGGGGGGAGGGGGGAGCAGGGGAGCGUCCUGGCCAAGGCAAGCCCAUACUCAAAACCUGCAGGAGGCACGGCUGGGGCUCUAAUCAUGGGUUCUGGCCAAGUGAGGCUGGGAGCCUUGCUUAUGGAAGGUUCCAUAAGGGCCAGAACAUUCUGGAAGUGAAAGGGGUGGUUAUCUUUCUGUGGCCCUCUUUACAUUCAGAAUCUGAAGCUAUCCAGAUUCAUGUCCCGAAUGCGUUAAAAACCCAGGCUCCCUGGCCCUUCUUGCAGAUCCCAGACAAGGAUUCACAGGGUUAGGAAAUUACUGCUGAUCAAAACUAUUUAGUGCAAGGCCCCCACCAGACCCAGGCAUAUCGGACACAACUUUCUGGCUGCCCAUGUCACCUCCCACUGCUCCUGGAUGCCUAAAGAGUCUGGAGACUCCAAGACCAGAAUGUACCUCAGGAAGAAAGGAGCGGGUACCCACCAAGUGUAAGGCACAAUCUUCCCACCAGCUCCCACCUCAGACAAAGAGGUACAGGAGAGGCUUUCCCUUAAAGACCCCUGGCCUACAGGGCGCCUGCUGGCUGCUAUGCCUCUCCCAGGCUGAGCAAGCUCAGAGCCGCUGGGGGACAGAUUUCCUGUAUGUCGUUUUACCCAUUUAAGUCCAAGGAUGCAACUCGGAGGAGGUGGUGACAGCUUAGCACAUGCGGGUUCUGUGCACACCCACCC